UAGGGAAUUUUGCGCAAUGGGGGAAACCCUGACGCAGCAACGCCGCGUGAUUGAUUAAGCCCUUCGGGGUGUAAAGAUCUGUCAGUGGGGACGAAACUUGACGGUACCCACAGAGGAAGCACCGGCUAACUCCGUGCCAGCAGCCGCGGUAAUACGGAGGGUGCAAGCGUUGUCCGGAAUCAUUGGGCGUAAAGAGUUCGUAGGUGGUUUGUUAAGUUUGGUGUUAAAUGCAGGGGCUCAACCUCUGUUCGGCAUCGGAUACUGGCAGACUAGAAUGCGGUAGAGGUAAAGGGAAUUCCUGGUGUAGCGGUGAAAUGCGUAGAUAUCAGGAGGAACAUCGGUGGCGUAAGCGCUUUACUGGGCCGUAAUUGACACUGAGGAACGAAAGCCAGGGUAGCAAAUGGGAUUAGAUACCCUGGUAGU
rnacentral:rRNA from 1 species